CGCCUCUUGCCUAAAYAUAAGAGGUCCAGCCUGCCCAGUGACAAAGUUUAACGGCCGCAGUAACCUAACCGCGCAAAGGUAGCAUAAUCACUCGUUCUCUAAAUAAGGACUUGUAUCAACGGCACCACGAAGACUAUACUGUCUCCCUUUUCUAAUCAGUGAAACUGAUCUCCCCGUGAAGAAGCGGGGAUUUUUUUAUAAGACGAGAAGACCCCAUGGAGCUUAAAACUCGUCGUACAUCUCUUCACCCCAUAUCUAUUACCUAAGAAUACUUGUAUGUCAGUUUUUGGUUGGGGAGACCUCGGAGUAUAAUAAAACCUCCGCAAUAAAUGGAUUAACAUCUUUAUCUACGAGAAACAUCUCUAAGAACUAAUAUAUUAAUAUUUAUGACCCAACAAUUUGAUAAAUGAACCAAGUUACCCUGGGGAUAACAGCGCAAUCUACUUUAAGAGCCCAUAUCGACAAGUAGGUUUACGACCUCGAUGUUGGAUCAGGGUCUCCUAGUGGUGCAACCGCUACUAAAGGUUCGUUUGUUCAACGAUUAAAACCCU
rnacentral:rRNA from 1 species